GUGCUCGCUUUGGCAGCACAUAUACUAAAAUUGGAACGAUACAGAGAAGAUUAGCAUGGCCCCUGGGCAAGGAUGACACGCAAAUUCGUGAAGCAUUCCAUAUUUAA
rnacentral:snRNA from 1 species